rnacentral:rRNA from 1 species
CCUACGGGAGGCAGCAGUGGGGAAUAUUGGACAAUGGGCGCAAGCCUGAUCCAGCAAUGCCGCGUGUGUGAAGAAGGCCUUCGGGUUGUAAAGCACUUUUAUCGGGAACGCGGUACCCGAGGAAUAAGCACCGGCUAACUUCGUGCCAGCAGCCGCGGUAAUACGAAGGGUGCAAGCGUUAAUCGGAAUUACUGGGCGUAAAGGGUGCGUAGGCGGUGAUUUAAGUCUGCUGUGAAAUCCCCGGGCUCAACCUGGGAAUGGCAGUGGAUACUGGAUCGCUAGAGUGUGUCAGAGGAUGGUGGAAUUUCCGGUGUAGCGGUGAAAUGCGUAGAGAUCGGAAGGAACAUCAGUGGCGAAGGCGGCCAUCUGGGACAAACUGACGCUGAAGCACGAAAGCGUGGGGAGCAAACAGGAUUAGAUACCCUUGUAGUC